AUUUUCUCCUAUUAAAGUUUGUAUUUUUUUGGUGUCUACUAGAUCUACAAUCGAUGCAACAAAUAUCAACUCAAAACCGUAAUAUUAAGAUCUUGUCUCACACAUAACUUUGAUUCAGAUCUACUAGCGAUGCAAAAAAUCUCAACUCGAGACUAUCACAACAAGAUUUUUUCUUCCACAACUUCGAUUCAGUGUAUUUGUUGUUAAACUUAGGACAAGAAAAUGAAGCACCGAACGGAAAAGUCGAUGUAUGUCCUGACCCUCUAGACUACGACAAGCAUAUUGUGCUUACCGUU